rnacentral:rRNA from 1 species
AUUGAACGCUGGCGGCAGGCCUAACACAUGCAAGUCGAGCGGAGCGGCGGACGGGUGAGUAAUGCAUAGGAAUCUGACUGGUAGUGGGGGAUAACGUCCGGAAACGGGCGCUAAUACCGAAUACUAUUAGAGGAGCCUAGGUCGGAUUAGCUAGCUGGUGGGGUAAAGGCCUACCUUGGCGACGAUCAGUAACUGGUCUGAGAGGAUGAUCAGUCACCAUGGAACGGAGACACGGUCCAGACGCCUACGGGAGGCAGCAGUGGGGAAUAUUGGACAAUGGGCGAAAGCCUGAUGCAGCCAUGCCGCGUGUGUGAAGAAGGUCUUCGGAUUGUAAAGCACUUUAAGUUGGGAGGCGUUACCAACAGAAUAAGCACCGGCUAACUUCGUGCCAGCAGCCGCGGUAAUAC